rnacentral:rRNA from 1 species
UACGGAGGGGGCUAGCGUUGUUCGGAAUUACUGGGCGUAAAGCGCACGUAGGCGGCUUUGUAAGUUAGAGGUGAAAUCCCGGGGCUCAACCCCGGAACUGCCUUUGAUACUGGGUAUCUCGAGUCCGGAAGAGGUGAGUGGAAUUCCGAGUGUAGAGGUGAAAUUCGUAGAUAUUCGGAGGAACACCAGUGGCGAAGGCGGCUCACUGGUCCGGUACUGACGCUGAGGUGCGAAAGCGUGGGGAGCAAACAGG